GGCCUAAUACAUGCAAGACGAACGGUAAGUUGAGUAGCAAUACUUAGCCAAGAGUGUCGUACGGGUGCGUAACACGUAUGCAACCUACCCUAUACAGGAGGAUAGCCUAGGGAAACCUGGAUUAACCCUUCAUAGUAUUAUUGGAUGGCAUCAUUUGAUAAUUAAAACUGAGGUGGUAUAGGAUGGGCAUGCGUCUGAUUAGUUAGUUGGCGGGGUAAUGGCCCACCAAGACGAUGAUCAGUAGGGGUUCUGAGAGGAAGAUCCCCCACACUGGCACUGAGAUACGGGCCAGACUCCUACGGGAGGCAGCAGUAGGGAAUAUUGGUCAAUGGAUGCAAGUCUGAACCAGCCAUGCCGCGUGCAGGAAGAAGGCCUUCUGGGUUGUAAACUGCUUUUGCCAGGGGAUAAAAUUUCCAUGCGUGGAAAACUGAAGGUACCUGGUGAAUAAGCCACGGCUAACUACGUG
rnacentral:rRNA from 1 species